rnacentral:rRNA from 1 species
AUGAUCCUCCGAGACCACAGUGGUGCAAUCAUCUUCUCCUCUUGCAGGUUCCUCACAUGUUGUGCGAGUCCGCUGGAGGCGGAGGUGGCUGCGUGCAUGGAGGGGAUCGCCCUAACCCUCGAGUGGAGCAGAGAACCUUUCAUCCUUGAGACGGAUUGUCUUGUCGCAGCGAACAUGAUCAAGGAGAAGGGCUUGAAUCGCUCACCUGUUGCAUCCCUAAUUGGUGAGGUGAAGAGGCUCCUGUCACAAGACCGAGAGUACAAGUUAUUUCAUGUGAGUAGAAAUAGUAACAAUGUAAGCCAUAUGCUAGCCCAACUGGGACUUUUGGUACCACGUACUGCAGUUUGGCUAAGAGGCGGACCUGAUGAAAUUGACAUUUUGUGUCAACAGGAUUGUAACGAUUUACCUUGA